rnacentral:rRNA from 1 species
CCUACGGGAGGCAGCAGUGGGGAAUAUUGCACAAUGGGCGCAAGCCUGAUGCAGCCAUGCCGCGUGUGUGAAGAAGGCCUUCGGGUUGUAAAGCACUUUCAGCGGGGAGGAAGGCGUUAAGGUUAAUAACCUUGUCGAUUGACGUUACCCGCAGAAGAAGCACCGGCUAACUCCGUGCCAGCAGCCGCGGUAAUACGGAGGGUGCAAGCGUUAAUCGGAAUUACUGGGCGUAAAGCGCACGCAGGCGGUCUGUCAAGUCGGAUGUGAAAUCCCCGGGCUCAACCUGGGAACUGCAUUCGAAACUGGCAGGCUAGAGGCUUGUAGAGGGUGGUAGAAUUCCAGGUGUAGCGGUGAAAUGCGUAGAGAUCUGGAGGAAUGCCGGUAGCGAAGGCAGCCCCCUGGACAAAGACUGACGCUCAGGUGCGAAAGCGUGGGGAGCAAACAGGAUUAGAUACCCUUGUAGUC